AGGACUGUAACUCAGUGGGAGAGCACCUGCUUUGCAUGCAGAAGUUCCCAGUUUCAAUUCCUGGCAUCCCCA